rnacentral:lncRNA from 1 species
AGAUUCCCUAAUGGGACUGUGAGGUUAAGUAAGCCAUUCGAGUAAAGCCUUCAGCACAGGACCUGGGCUGCAGCAGGUGUGCAGAACUUAGGCUGUCACCAAGUUUUUCAGACUCCUGGGCUGUGUGUGGGUUCUGCCACCCUGGAAAGGAGUGUGGGGAGAAAUCUCAGGAGGCACAAGCUCAACUGCUCGUUCACAGGCUGGAAACCAAAAGCAGAAGCAACAGCAAAUGCCUCCGGGAACCUCCAGAACACGGAUGACCUCUUGUGCAGGGGACGCACAGGAGGCGCUCGGGUACAAGGCCAAGGCCAGUGUCCUACGCGGGAACACAGCAGGUAGGAAGGUGCGCUCAUGUGCCAAGAAAAUGCAAGUGCAAGCUGAGGCUUCUGGUAAGGAAAGGAGCAGCAGGGAUGAACACUCUCCGCUUCCAAAGCAAAACACGGACAAUACAACAAAAACAGGGAAACGCAGAGAAAAGUAUCAGAUACAACAAGACAAGCAAACUAAGAAGUCCUAAACUUGCCUUUUGGCCACAAAACACACACAUACACACAUUUAGGAAGAUGAUAAAGGCAAGUCUCGACUACAAACAAGGUGGAGAAAAAUUUCUCCAAAGCAGCGUCCAGAGGAUCCAAAGGGUACCUGCAACAAACCUUUGAGAGACGGGCAAUGUUAUAAGCUGGCAUAUUCUGUGGAGAGUCCAUGCCACAAGACAGGAGAGGCAGAUCUAAGAGAAAACAUUCACUGCUGCUUCCUUUCUCACCGCAUUACCACUGUGUUCUUUCCACCCUGCAAAGACUUCAGGGGCAGUGAUGCACCUGGAGAAACUCCAGGAGCCAAGAGAUUUAACAACAAUGCCACAUACACGGACUUUGAUUUUGCACAAAAAGUGUAUAUAUAUUUAUGCU